GACUUCUUGCCCUUCCCCAAAUGUGUCAUGCUCCCUCAUCUUCCUUCAAAAUAUAGAAGCCAGGCAAUAUUUCAGGUGCCUGGCCUACACGAAUGAACAAAACAGAGAUCCUGGCCUAUGUGGACCUCGUAUUCUUAUGGGAGUAGGUGAGAGGUAGGGAGGUGGAUGGUGGAAGAAUGGCUGAGUAAUUGGGUAAAUGAAUGAGAUGUCUGAUGAUAGAUGGAUGGAUGGUGGACAUAAAUGGAUGAUUGAUAGGUAAGUAGAUGAUUGGUGAAUGCGUAGACAGAUAUAGAGAGGUUGAUAAAUGGAUGACUGACAGGUAGAUAAAUAACGAAUACACAGAUAUGCAGACAGAUGGACAGAGUGUCGUGUGGUUAUAACAGCAAUGGAGACAUGAGUCAGGAUGGGGAACGGGAGGGAUUGUGUAUAAAGAGGUGCCAUAUUUCACAAUUUUACAAAAACAGGAGAAAUGAACCAUACUUCUCACGUUGGGUCUGGCUUCCCCUUCAGAGCAGAGCCUGCAGUCUCUGAGCUGAAGUGUCGGUCUCCUCCACCCACCCUCCCACUCUCAGCCACCCCCUCUGCCCUGUGCCUCUCUUCCCCACGCCUUCCUGCCUUUGAAGAGGUGAGGUAAGGUGCACGGGUGAACAGAAAACGCUCCCAAAGCCAAGAGAUCACCAUCUCCUGCUACACCCACCUCUCUCAGGCUUUUAUCGAGAGAGAAGAGCGUGAGACAACCACAACCCACCACACUUAUCUCGUAGAGUAGCUGGGAUUGUGAAGAUGGCAUGAUCCGAAGGUAAACACAGGGUUUAUCAACUCCACUGCAGCAUCGUGGAGAGAGAAUGUAGGAAACAGACGCAAUGGUGACUGACGUGGAUCUCCUCUCCUGUGUGGUAAGAUGUCAGGCCAAAGGUAGGCUUGCAUCCUCCUGCGAGGAGCGGCCCCAUGUGAUUGUCAGCCAUGGGGCAGCCUCCCUGAAUUUCAGUUUCCUCAUCUAUAAAAUGGAAGACAAACCCCCACUGGCUUCCAUGAGAACUGAAGCUAUAUGAACUCACGCCUGUGAGCACGUCUGGGUGUGUUGUGUGUUCAGACAGGGCGCCCGUACAGCGGCAUUGACACACAGUGAGGGAAGCGUUCACCGCAGGCUGACAGCACGCGGGCACCUCCACACUCCUGAACUCGACAGGGGCCUCCGAGACACCCACGUGAGUAAGAGAAGGUCUCAAUAUGUGUCAGGGCUUAAGACAGCUGUGAAAUAAUGGAGGCUGGAUUUGGGAGCAAAUCCUCCUUUGUUCCAUCCCCACACGUUUUCCUGGGGUCAAUGCCUCCUUGGAAAAGGCAGCAGGGGGCGCCGUGGAGGUGGCACCGGCUUUUCAUUCAGGCUCUCAGCUGCGACCUUCUCGUUUGCACGGGUGACACUCCCCGAGGCCAUAAAACCUCUCUAGAAAGAAGAGCAGAGCCAAGAGGCCAGGCAGAUGGUGACUGAGGAGGAUGCAGAAGUGGCUGAUCACAUGAGCCUGUGUGGACCGAGAGAUUUGUUAGGGCACGACUGACUCACAGCCUUUCCUCCACCACUGGGUGAGUUCUGAGACUCACAGCCUUUCCUGCACCACCGGGCGAGUUCCGAGACUCACGGCCUUUCCUCGACCACCGGGUAAGUUCCCAGAUUCACAGCCUUUCCUCGACCACCAGGUGAGUUCCAUCAUCCCUUAGACUCAGUUUUUUCUUCUGACACAGGAGACAACAGUCACAACUUCACCUGCUUAUCAUGAAAGCUCCAUGUGACAACAAUGUGAGAACGCCAGUGAAGGGCAUUUGAAAAACAAAGGGAUUCAUGAAUGGGGUCCCUCACCAGCGACCAACCCCCUGCCCUCACCGGUGCCCUGGGAACUACACAAGAAUUCACAGUACUGGUUAUACUCAGGUAACAACAGGGUGGCAAGGAACACAACUAGACGAAACUAAGCCCCCAAAGGAAGGACAUCAUCAUCACAGUUCCAUGAAGAACUGCUCUGAUAUCGCGGGAAAAAUGUCAGCCCCACAGUUCCAUGAACGACUCUGAAACCACAGAAAGGACAUCAUCCACACAGUUCCACGAAGAACUGCUCUGAGACCACGAGAAGGAUGUCAUCCUCACAUUUCCAUGAAUGGCUCUGAUACCACAGAAAGGAUGUCAUCCUACAUCAUCCUCACAGUGCCAUGAAGAACUGCUCUGAGACCACAGAAAGGACGUCAUCCUACGUCAUCCUCACAGUUCCGUGAAGAACUGCUCCGAGACUGAGCACCAAUCACUAACAGAUACUUCUUCAGAAAUAGAUCGGUAAUAUUUGAUUGAAAGCAAACUAGAAAUAAAGUUUUAAGUUAAUAAAAGAAA